rnacentral:rRNA from 1 species
AGUGAACGCUGGCGGUAGGCCUAACACAUGCAAGUCGAACGGCAGCACAGUAAGAGCUUGCUCUUACGGGUGGCGAGUGGCGGACGGGUGAGGAAUACAUCGGAAUCUACUUUUUCGUGGGGGAUAACGUAGGGAAACUUACGCUAAUACCGCAUACGACCUACGGGUGAAAGCAGGGGAUCUUCGGACCUUGCGCGAUUGAAUGAGCCGAUGUCGGAUUAGCUAGUUGGCGGGGUAAAGGCCCACCAAGGCGACGAUCCGUAGCUGGUCUGAGAGGAGGAUCAGCCGCACUGGAACUGAGACACGGUCCAGACUCCUACGGGAGGCAGCAGUGGGGAAUAUUGGACAAUGGGCGCAAGCCUGAUCCAGCCAUACCGCGUGGGUGAAGAAGGCCUUCGGUUUGUAAAGCCCUUUUGUUGGGAAAGAAAAGCAGCAGGUUAAUACCCCGCUGUUCUGACGGUACCCAAAGAAUAAGCACCGGCUAACUUCGUG